rnacentral:rRNA from 1 species
GAUGAACGCUAGCUACAGGCUUAACACAUGCAAGUCGAGGGGCAUCAGGAAGGAAGCUUGCUUUCUUCGCUGGCGACCGGCGCACGGGUGAGUAACACGUAUCCAACCUGCCGAUGACUCGGGGAUAGCCUUUCGAAAGAAAGAUUAAUACCCGAUGGCAUAGUUCUUCCGCAUGGUAGAACUAUUAAAGAAUUUCGGUCAUCGAUGGGGAUGCGUUCCAUUAGCUUGUUGGCGGGGUAACGGCCCACCAAGGCAUCGAUGGAUAGGGGUUCUGAGAGGAAGGUCCCCCACAUUGGGACUGAGACACGGCCCAA